GUGCGCGUUAAAUCGGAAAGCGAAAACAAAGGAAGACUUAAUAGACUCGCAAAAUAGAAAGCAUAAGCUGCAUUUAUCGGCUUAAUCAUUAUUCAAGUACAGCACACAGACAAGCAUCACGCAGAAACUCAACAUGGAUGCUAUGGAAGAGAAUCCAGUACCAGAGUGAAAAUUUGCAGAUGUGUAUGAGAGUGCUGAAAGAUUUUAUUUCAGUUUUGUGCUUUGACACUGAAAAGGAAUAUUGCUGUAAUUCCAAAAUAUUAUUGACAUAUUUUAAAAUGUGAACAUUUGAAGUGAGAAAUGUUUUUGAAACUUGUAAUUAACAUACCAAAAGAAUAAUAAUCAAUAUUUUACUUAACUUGAUUAUUUAGAAGAAUAAUUUGGAGUUUCUGUUGGGUAUUUUCAUGAUAAUAUGAUGGGACAUGUAAAAACAAUGUGGAUUGUAAUCACUCUGUUAUUUGUUUGUCCACAUGUUAUGUUAAUGAAUUUCAGGUAUCUGACCCACAAUUGAGCUAGCUUUCUCCAUAGAUCUUAAUGUUAAUUUGAUUGCUGGUGACCGAAUACCAGUAGACUUGAUAAUAUUCCUUCACACUGCGCCUCCCCCUUUUCAAAUAUGCUAUCAUUCUAGUCCCAUAAUGUUACAUUCUGUGAUGGUUCUAGUUCGCAUAUAUUGUUUGUCAUUUUUCUCAUUCUCAGGAAAUAAAUAAAGACAAAAGUG